AUUGGGKGUAAARGGUGKGCARRCGGCUUAYUAARUCACUUGUUAAAUUCUUCGGCCUAAMUGAAGGUMUGCGASUGAWACUGGAAAGCUAGAGGGUGGAAGAGAGAAGUGGAAUUCUCGGAGUAGCGGUAAAAUGCGUAGAUCUCGAGAGGAACACCMAUGGCGAAGGCAGCUUCUUGGUCCAUUCCUGACGUUCAURCMCGAAAGCGUGGGGAGCAAACAGGAUUAGAUACCCUGGUAGUCCACGCUGUAAACGAUGAUCACUAGACGUKAGUUCUGUUUGACAGAAUUAGUGUCGUAGCUAACGCGUUAAGUGAUCCACCUGGGGAUUACGGUCGCARGACUA
rnacentral:rRNA from 1 species